UACGUAGGUGGCAAGCGUUGUCCGGAUUUACUGGGCGUAAAGGGCGCGUAGGCGGUCCUGUAAGUCCCGCGUGAAAUCCCCCGGCUCAACUGGGGAACUGCGCGGGAAACUGUGGGGCUUGAGUUCGGGAGAGGGAAGCGGAAUUCCGGGUGUAGGCGGUGAAAUGCGUAGAUAUCCGGAGGAACACCGGUGGCGAAGGCGGCUUCCUGGACCGACA
rnacentral:rRNA from 1 species